UACGAAGGGGGCUAGCGUUGUUCGGAAUUACUGGGCGUAAAGCGCACGUAGGCGGAUUUGUAAGUCAGGGGUGAAAUCCUGGAGCUCAACUCCAGAACUGCCUUCGAUACUGGCGAUCUUGAGUCUGGGAGAGGUGAGUGGAACUCCGAGUGUAGAGGUGAAAUUCGUAGAUAUUCGGAAGAACACCAGUGGCGAAGGCGGCUCACUGGCCCGGUACUGACGCUGAGGUGCGAAAGCGUGGGGAGCAAACAGG
rnacentral:rRNA from 1 species